AACGAACGCUGGCGGCAUGCCUAACACAUGCAAGUCGAACGAGACCUUCGGGUCUAGUGGCGCACGGGUGCGUAACGCGUGGGAACCUGCCCUUAGGUUCGGAAUAACUCCCCGAAAGGGGUGCUAAUACCGGAUAAUGUCUUCGGACCAAAGAUUUAUCGCCUUUGGAUGGGCCCGCGUUGGAUUAGCUAGUUGGUAGGGUAAAAGCCUACCAAGGCGACGAUCCAUAGCUGGUCUGAGAGGAUGAUCAGCCACACUGGGACUGAGACACGGCCCAGACUCCUACGGGAGGCAGAAGUGGGGAAUAUUGGACAAUGGGCGAAAGCCUGAUCAAGCAAUGCCGCGUGAGUGAUGAAGGCCUUAGGGUUGUAAAGCUCUUUUACCCGGGAUGAUAAUGACAGUACCGGGAGAAUAAGCUCCGGCUAACUCCGUG
rnacentral:rRNA from 1 species